GCGCCCCAUAUCUUACACGAGAAAGAGUUUCUCAUGAAACCUUUCCACACACAAAGUAGCCAUGCACCUUCUCUUCUCACACCCAAGUGGAUAGGGAUGAGUUGAUUUGCAUUUGAAUUCAAAUUUGAUUUGAAUUUAAAUGUACAACCACUUAUCUUUAUCCUCUCACGCGGAUAAGACACGUUUUGAACUGUUUUAAAAGAGAUAGAG
rnacentral:lncRNA from 1 species